CACUAACUAAGCUCGCAAGCUUUAGAAACGUGUUGGGGAAUCAGAUAUCAAGCUAACCUAAAUAUAGACAUUGCUCAGUAUUUUUUUCAAUGCUGUGCUUCUACUGGAAGAGGUUUAGAGGCAGACCUUGAUUAGGUAAAAUUCAAAUGUUUGAACUUUGAAAUAUGAUGCAGUUCGUAUAUCAACUAAUGUACAAAAAUGCAAAUUUAAAAUAAUUUGGGGCAUUAUACGAGAAAAACUAUUACAGUUGAAAGCGUGUUUUCUAACUGAUAAAGAUAAUUAUAACAGCAAAGUUUUGAUAAUGCUGGUCAAGUUUCGUAUCAUUGUUAUAAGAUUAAGGGCAAAAUUUUAACGUUCACUUUCUGAAAAAUUGGUUAACGGAUUUAUGGAGCCGUCGAAAGCCGUCUCGGGUUGAAACUAUACCGUAGUGGUGCUAAUUCAUGUCUGGGAUAAUAACCGGCCUCUGGAACCUGCUUCUUCUACAACUUCCAACUCGGCUGUGAUCUUCAGUUCCAAACACAGGUUAAUUCGUUCAUCUAUGUGCAAGAGAUUGGAAUAUCUGUUCUAAACGCAAUAGAAUUUUCUUCAUUCGAACAUGCGGUCAUAAUUACAGUAUAGAUAUCUUUAAAAGUUCAUAGAUAUCUGCCAAAGGGUCAGCAAUCUUGGGAGCACAAAGGCAAACGAAAAAUUUUGAGUCUAGUAGAUAAAGGAAAGCGCGAACGAGCUUUAUAAAUCAAUCAAGUAUGCCGAAAGAAAAUUUUUUACUGGUACAAAUGCCAGUAAAAAAUUCUAUCAUGAUCGCCAAAAGAGCAAGUGAAUACGAAAUAUUUCCUGUAAGUGCCUUGGGGUCCGUUCUGGGGCAACGUGCUGAGCUACUGGCAGCGCAGGCCCUAUCUGAACGUUUUCUUCUUCACAUUCGAACAACUCAAAAAGGACUUGCCCGGCACUCUGUUCUGAGUUGCUGAGUUUCUGGGCAUCAAGCGAGGAGGACCAGAGGGCGCCAUAUAUGGGCUUCAGAGCUCACAGAGCACCCCUCCUUCAGUGGCAUGAGCACCAACCCCCGGGGGCCAUACUUUCAAAACUUGCUAAGUGAAUUAUGGGCCCUGCCACCAACAACGAGGUGCUCGCUGCAGCUGCUGUCAACCCAACCACCGAAGGGCAGGUCAAGUUUAUGAGACAA